GGAAAGCCUGAAACCAUGGAGACCAUGACGAGGCCUUGAUGUAGGAGAGUUUUCCCAGGGAAAGCGAACCUGCCCAUGACUUAAAGGCAUCAGAAUUACUUGCUCAGAGGUGCAGAGGGGCCAGGAGUAUUAGGAGGGAGUUCUGGCUUCUCAUCAUCUCUCUUCCCCGGAAUAAUCGUCCUUCCUGGAAACUGUACCUGAGGGUGUGAUGAAAACUGAGAGGCACCUGGUCACCUUGAGAGUGGGCCAACUGGACUGACCAGUUUCUCCUUCUCCAUGCUUCCAGACAGCAAAGCCUUAUAAACACCAGUAUGAGAACCCUGAAUGGAACCCUACUUCAGGUGACCCACCCCUUCUGUACAAGACCUGUGUUUUCUCUUUUCCUUAAGCUUUCACUUACGAAUCUGUGAUAAAGCUUUCCAAAAAC